AGUGAACGCUGGCGGCAGGCCUAACACAUGCAAGUCGAACGGCAGCACAGGAGAGCUUGCUCUCUGGGUGGCGAGUGGCGGACGGGUGAGGAAUACGUCGGAAUCUGCCUAUUUGUGGGGGAUAACGUAGGGAAACUUACGCUAAUACCGCAUACGACCUACGGGUGAAAGCGGAGGACCUUCGGGCUUCGCGCAGAUAGACGAGCCGACGUCGGAUUAGCUAGUUGGCGGGGUAACGGCCCACCAAGGCGACGAUCCGUAGCUGGUCUGAGAGGAUGAUCAGCCACACUGGAACUGAGACACGGUCCAGACUCCUACGGGAGGCAGCAGUGGGGAAUAUUGGACAAUGGGCGCAAGCCUGAUCCAGCCAUGCCGCGUGAGUGAAGAAGGCCCUCGGGUUGUAAAGCUCUUUUGUCCGGAAAGAAAAGCGCUCGGUUAAUACCCAAGCGUCAUGACGGUACCGGAAGAAUAAGCACCGGCUAACUUCGUGCCAGCAGCCGCGGUAAUAC
rnacentral:rRNA from 1 species